rnacentral:rRNA from 1 species
UCUAUAUGGGAUAAUAUAUAGUCUGAUCUGCUCACUGAUAUAAUUGAAGAGCCGCGGUAUUCUGACUGUGCAAAGGUAGCAUAAUCAUUAGUUUUUUAAUUGAAAGCUUGUAUGAAUGAUUGAACAAGAAAAAUACUGUUUCUAUAGUAAGGUUUGAAUUUAACUUUUAAGUUAGAAGGCUUAAAUAUUCUGGGGGGACGAUAAGACCCUAUAAAUCUUUAUAUAUUUAGAAUUCUAAUAGAAAUAGUAUGUAAUUUUGGUAUUUUGUAAAAUAUUUGAUUGGGGCGAUAUAGUUAUAAGUUUUAGUAACUAGUUAUAAGUUUAUACAGAUUAUUUGAAUAAAAUAAAAGAUCCUUGUUAAAGAUUAUUAGAUUAAGUUACUUUAGGGAUAACAGCGUAAUUUCUUUUAAUAGUUCAUAUUGAAAAAGAAGCUUGCGACCUCGAUGUUUAAUUAAAAUUUCUUUUUAGUGCAGCAGCUAAAGGAGAAGGUCUGUUCGACCUUUAAAUUUUUACA